rnacentral:lncRNA from 1 species
ACAAAUGGGCUUACCAAAAGGAAGGGUGAUUAGCCCCUCCGCAUGUAUU